rnacentral:rRNA from 1 species
GACGAACGCUGGCGGCGUGCCUAACACAUGCAAGUCGAACGGGGUUGCGGGAGCUUGCUUCUGCAGCUUAGUGGCGAACGGGUGAGUAACGCGUGAGGAACCUGCCUUUCAGUGGGGGACAACAGUUGGAAACGACUGCUAAUACCGCAUAAUGUGCUUAGGGGGCAUCCCCUGAGUACCAAAGCUUUAUGUGCUGAAAGAUGGCCUCGCGUCUGAUUAGAUAGUUGGUGGGGUAACGGCCUACCAAGUCGACGAUCAGUAGCCGGUCUGAGAGGAUGAACGGCCACAUUGGGACUGAGAUACGGCCCAGACUCCUACGGGAGGCAGCAGUGGGGAAUAUUGGGCAAUGGGGGAAACCCUGACCCAGCAACGCCGCGUGAAGG